GCGGGGUUAAUCUAAUCAUGCCCUUUCCUCUACCCCGGGAGGACACUCCUUUUCCCUGUUGUUUAUCGCCUCUGCCUCGUGAUUUCACCAUUAUCUGCAAAGAGAACACAUUCAGUUGAGCUUUGUCAGUAUCAGCAGAAUCAGUGAAGCAUUGCAGAAUAAUAUUGCAGACAGUCAGAAUUGCAGACUGCGGACCCCACAAAAUGAAGUGCGGCCAUAAAGAAGCUACCGCGGACCGCAAAAAUGCACCGCAGUCCGCACUGAGGUGGGAAUCAGACUACUCACUCUCUGAUUCUAGGCACCGCAGACCGCACAAAUGCAUUGCAGUCCGCAUUGAGGCACCACAGACCGCACAAAAUCCAUCGCGGUCGUGGUCCUCAAUUAUCAGAUUUCAGAAGUUUCACCACCGCGGUCCAUACAAAAUAGCAUUGCGGACCGCACAGAAGCACCGAAGACCACUCAAAAUCCACCGCGGUCCGCGGUAAGUGGUACCCAGCAACACCAACCUAGGAUUUCAAUUUUUAACAUUUUUAGUCCAAUUUUUCACCUAUUAUUGAUCCCCCAGGUGUUGAAUCAAUGUUUCUAACUAAUUAGUCCUAAUUUAAACAUGAAUAAAUAUACCUACAAUAUAGAAUUGAAAGAAAACGGGAAGAAAAAGAAGAAAAAACUAAAAAAAAAAAAAGUUAAAAGAAAACAACAAAGUUAAAUAACUAAGACAAAAUUAAAAUUACCAGAAGUGAGAUGCAAUGUAGUUUAAUGAGAUUUAGCAGUUGAAUUCAAGCAAGUAUGAGGGAUGAACAGUGAUUUUUUAAGCUUUUGAGUGCAAAGGGUCGAAAAGUUUGAAAUGUUGGUCUUAGGUCCUAUUUAUAGAAAAAGGAACUGGGGCCCAUCUCACCUACCCAUCGCGGACCGCACAAAAUGGCAUCGCAGUGCGCGGUACUCAGAAACAAGUGGCACAGGGGAGAUGUCCAUUGCGGACUGCAAGAAAUGCAAUGCGGCCGUAGUGGUCCACCACAAACCGCACAAAAUGCAUUGCGGCGGCGGUGGCAAACUUCAGAGUUUCCUCAUUUUUGACCAAAUAACUCUGCGAUCCGCAUUGAAUUGUUUCCCCCACAAAGAGGCCACUGCGGUCCGCACAAAAUGCAUUGCGGUCGCAGUGCAAACUUCAGAGAGUGUGUAUUUUCCAACUUGGUCCUGCACUACAUCAAAACAAUCCUACAACAUCUCACAACCAGUUACUCCAAAAGCAAAUCCUAUAUUACAAAGAAAAACAAAAAGAAAGACACAUGGGUUGCCUCCCAAGAAGCGCCUGAUUUAACAUUGCGACACAACGCAGGUUACCAUCAAAUCACUUUAGAUGGAGUAAUGCCACCAUGUGGCUGUCAUCAAUCUUGCCCAGGUAGUGCUUGACCCUGUGCCCAUUAACUCUGAAAACCUCCCCAUUUUUGUUCUUCAAGUCAAGGUCACCAAACGAAGUCACAAACACCACUUUAAAAGGUCCACUCCAUUUUGACUUGAGCUUUCCCGAAAACAGACGUAACUGAGAGUUGAACAAGAGAACAUAAUCACCCACUUUGAACUCCUUGCAACGAGCAUAUUUAUCAUGAAGGUACUUCAUCUUGUCCUUGUACAAGGACGAACUGGAGUAGGCAUGGAAUCGGAAUUUAUCAAGUUCAUUAAGCUGCUCCACACGAAGAUUUGCUGCCACAUCCCAUUCAAGAUUCAGCUUCCUCAAAUCCCACAUGGCCUUGUGCUCUAACUCAACCGGUAGAUGGAAAGCUUUUCCAAACACCAACCGGUACAGAGACAUACCAAUCGAAGUCUUGUAAGCAGUCUUAUAAGCCCAUAGAGCAUCAUCCAACUUCUUUGACCAAUCGGUCCUAUUUGCAUUGAUCGUCUUUGACAAUAUACUCUUCCUUGUUUGAGACUUCAACUUGGCCACUCGCCUGAGGAUGAUAAGGAGUAGAAACUUUGUGAUUGACACCAUACUUUGCAAGCANNNNNNNNNNNNNNNNNNNNNNNNNGACCCAUUGCAUCAAAGCUUUGGAAUCCUUCUUCGUCAUCAAGUACCUGAGUGCGACAUGAUCAAUAUGAACUAUGACCUUGGCACCCAUGAGAUACGACAUAAAUAUCUCCAUUGCGAACACAAUAGCCAAAAGCUCUUUCUCAGUCACCGUGUAGUUCACUUGAGCAUCAUUCAUUGUCUUGCUCGCAUAGUACACCGGAUGAAACAUUUUGUUCACUCUUUGUCCCAAAACCACCCCAACCUCAACAUUGCUCGCAUCACACAUGAGCUCAAAAGGCAAGCUCUAAUUGGGUGCGGUAAUAAUAGGAGUGGUGGUCAACUUGUGCUUGAGAAGUUCAAAGGCUUGCAUACAUCUCUCACCGAACAUGAAGUUGGCAUCUUUUUCCAAUAACUUGCAUAAAGGAUUCACUACCUUCGAAAAGCCUUUGAUAAAUCUCCGGUAGAACCCCACAUGCCCAAGAAAACUUCUAAAUCCCUUUAUAGAGAUAGGGGGAGGGAGCCUUGAAAUCACAUCAAUUUUUGCUUUGUCCACCUCUAUACCAUGCUUUGAAAUUUUAUGCCCAAGAACUAUGCCCUCCUCAACCAUGAAGUGGCAUUUCUCCCAAUUAAGAACAAGAUUGGUUUCUUCAUAACGGGCCAACACUCUAUCAAGAUUUUUCAAACAUUCAUCAAAUGAGUCACCCAAAACACUAAAGUCAUCCAUGAACACCUCCAAAAUAUCUUCCACCAUGUCGGUGAAAAUGGCCAUCAUACAUCGCUAAAAUAUAGCCGGUGCAUUACACAACCCAAAAGGCAUCCUAGAAAAGGCAAAGGUGCCAUAUGGACAAGUGAAUGCGGUCUUCUCCUGAUCUUCCAGAACAAUCAAGAUUUGGUUGUAUCCAGAAUACCCAUCGAAGAAAUAGUAGAAGGCACGCCCAACAAGUCGAUCUAACAUCUGAUCAAGAAAAGGCAAUGGAAAGUGAUCCUUGCGGGUCACUUUAUUCAACUUGCAGUAAUCCAUGCACACCCUCCACCCGGUGACGGCCCUGGUAGGAAUCAACUCAUUUUGUGAAUUUGCAACCAAGGUCAUGCCACCCUUCUUUGGCACACAUUGCACCGGCGAAGUCUAAGAGCUAUCAGAGAUGGGGUACACAACCCCUACAUCCAACCACUUGAUCACCUCCUUUUUCACAAGUUCUUGCAUUGCCUUAUUCAACCUCCUUUGAUGUUCCAAGGAGGGCUUUGCAUCAUCUUCCAGAAUAAUCUUGUGCACACAGAAUCCGUGGCUUAUCCCCUAAAUAUCAACUAAGGUCCAUCCAAUUGCCUUCUUCUGCUUUUGAAGCACCGCCAAUAUGGCAUCAACCUGCAUGUUAGUAAGACAAGAGAAAACAAUAACUGGCAAAAUUGAACUAGGGCCUAAAAUUCAUACCUGGGUAUGGGGGCAACGACUUCAACUCCAACACCGAAGGUUCCUCGAUUGAAGGUUUUGUUUGUGGAGUCUUCCUAUUCUCAAGAUCCAAAGAGAGUUUCCUAGGCCCAUAAGAGUAAGAGCCCAUUCCAUGUAAAGCAUUCACGCACUCCACUUGGCCUUCAUCCUCAUUUACAUCAAGAUUCAACAAAACUGCCUCUAGAGGGUCCUCCACAUUGAUCAUUGAACUAGUAUCAUCAACUAUCACUGCCGUGAUAAGGUCUACAAAAGAGCACACCUCAGAACUGUUGGGCUGCUUCAUUGACUUGCACACAUGAAAGACCACUUUCUCAUCACCCACCCGGAAGGUGAGUUCCCCUGCUUCCACAUCAACUAAGACCUUCCCAGUAUCAAGGAAAGGUCUUCCCAAUAUGAUUGGAACCUCGUAAUGUAUCUCACAAUCCAAUAUCACAAAAUCAGUUGGCAAGAUAAAUUUAUCCACCCGGACAAGAACAUCAUCAAUAACACCCAAUGGUCUCUUCAUAUUUCUAUCCGCCAUUUGCAAUCUCAUGGAAGUCAGCCUCGGUUGCCCAAUACCCAAAGUCUUAAAAACUGAGUAGGGCAUCAAGUUGAUACUUGCCCCCAAAUCACAUAGAGCUUUGGCAAAGUCCGCACUCCAAUGGUGCAAGGAAUGGUGAAAGCACAGGGAUCUUCUAGCUUCGGGGCCAUUAAGUGCACUAUUGCACUAACUUGGUGGGUCAUCUUGAUAAUUUCGCAGUCCAUGGAUCUUUUCUUUGUCACCAAGUCCUUCAUGAAUUUAGCAUAGCCCGACAUUUGUUCUAGAUCCUCCACCAAAGGCACAUUAAUGGAUAAGCUCUUCAUCAUGUCAAUAAACUUCUUAAACUGAUUCUCAUUUUUCUGCUUCGCGAGCCUUUGAGGAUAAGGUGGAGGUGGACUUAGCAAAUGAGCCUUGGCUUUAGGCACAACCAUUUACGGCAUGUCUAUUAUGUGUUCCCUAGAUAGGUUCACGUCAUUCUAAGUCUCCACCUCGGCAUAUUGAAUAUCAAUCCUCACUUCCUCAUUCAUGUUCUCAUCAAUCACAUUUUCAACCACCAAAAGAAUCUCAUCUUCUUGCAACUCAACUUCAUCACUCAAAAUUUCUUUUUGCUUGGAGUCAUUCACAUCACUGCCUCGUCCACUUCUUGUACUUAACUCCAUAACAUGAUUAUUCUCGCCCUUCGGGUUAACUACUAUAUCACUUGGUAGAGCCCCCUUAGGGCGAGUAUUCAAGGAUUGUGAGAUUUAACCUGAUUGAACCUCCAAGUUUCUGAUUGAAGUGUUGUGGGAAGCCAACUGAGCAUCAGAGUCCGCAUUAUUUUUCAUCAUCUGUUCAAACAUCAUUUCAAUUCUCCCCAUUUCGUUGUUGGACGAACUAGGACCUUGGGAUGGAAAUGGGGGUGGAUUGUUCGGUUGUUGAUACAUUGGGGGCCUUUGAAAGCCUUGCCCCUGAUUGCCAUUAUUCCAACCACCCAGAUUGUUGUUACCACCCCAAUUGCUAUUGUUUACAUUCCAAUUACCCUGGUUGUUCUGAUUGCCCUCAAUUGACUUGGGGUCUCCAUUGUUAUUGGUUGGAAGAAUUUCCCCUUUCGCCUUCAUAGUUGUUCACGUAUUGCACAUCUUCAUUCUGCCCAUCAUAACCAUCAUCUUGGAAUCCACCACAAUUAUUGUCAUAUUGAUCAGGACUCGCUUGGUUUUGUUGACCUCUUUGUCUUCUUUUGUUCACUAGCAUGUUGACACCCUCCAUAGCAUUCACUUGGCGUAGAUUUUGAACCUGUUGUAACUGUGCCUUUGCUAGCUGGUUCAUUGUAGUUGUCAGCUCUGCUAUAGCUUUCCUAUGAUCAUGUAGCUCUUUGUGCAAGUGACUUAUCGUGGGGUCACCCUGUGGCACAUUGGCUCUACUUUGCCAAGCGGAGGACGUGUUGCCAUCUCGUCAAGAAUGUCACAAAACUCAUCAUAAGACAGCUUUAUGAAGUUACCCCCAGCAAGUUGGUUCACUAUGCACUGAUUUGUUGUGUUAAUGCCCCGGUAGAAAGUCUAUUGUAUCAUUGCCUCAAUCAUAUCAUUAUUGGGACAUUCCCAUGCAAUGGUUCUGUGGGCUCCUGCUUGAAAGCUAAGAUCUCAUCUCUCAAGGAUGCCAUGUGCCCUGGUGAGAAAAACUUUGCAAUGAAUUUAUCCACCAACUCAUCCCAAGUAGUGAUGGAAUGGUUGGGAAGUCAUUCAAGCCAAUCCAAUGCCUUCCCUCUAAGUGAGAAAGGGAAUAGUCUCAACCGAAGUGCAUCCUCCGACACAUUAGUUUGCUUGCUCUCCCAACGGGCAUCCACGAAACCCUUGAGAUGUUUGUAAGCAUUCUGAUCGGCAGCGCCCGUGAAAUACCCACGCUGCUCCAGCAAUGUCAGCAUCACAUUUGUUAUUUGAAAAUUGCCCGCCUGGAUUCGGGGUGGGACAAUUGUACUAGCAUAUCCUUGGUUGGGAAGCACUCGUGGAGCCACUCUUGGAGGUGGCGGGGGAGGGUCUGGAAUAUUAUCAUUGGCUUAGCGGCCUCUCCUUUGUCCUUGAGGUACAAUAGGAACCUCAUCAUCAUCAUUGUCAUCUACUUCUUCCCCCCAGAGGAAGAUCUANAAGAGGUGCAUAUUUGUUUCUNUUUUGUACGUGAAGUUAUGACACACACAAAUUAGAUAGNNNNNNNNNNNNNNNNNNNNNNNNNUUUGCAAUGAAUUUAUCCACCAACUCAUCCCAAGUAGUGAUGGAAUGGUUGGGAAGUCAUUCAAGCCAAUCCAAUGCCUUCCCUCUAAGUGAGAAAGGGAAUAGUCUCAACCGAAGUGCAUCCUCCGACACAUUAGUUUGCUUGCUCUCCCAACGGGCAUCCACGAAACCCUUGAGAUGUUUGUAAGCAUUCUGAUCGGCAGCGCCCGUGAAAUACCCACGCUGCUCCAGCAAUGUCAGCAUCACAUUUGUUAUUUGAAAAUUGCCCGCCUGGAUUCGGGGUGGGACAAUUGUACUAGCAUAUCCUUGGUUGGGAAGCACUCGUGGAGCCACUCUUGGAGGUGGCGGGGGAGGGUCUGGAAUAUUAUCAUUGGCUUAGCGGCCUCUCCUUUGUCCUUGAGGUACAAUAGGAACCUCAUCAUCAUCAUUGUCAUCUACUUCUUCCCCCAGAGGAAGAUCUACAAGAGGUGCAUUAUUUGUUUCUAUUUUGUACGUGAAGUUAUGACACACACAAAUUAGAUAGAUAGCCAAAACCGUUAGCUCCCCCGCAAUGUCACCAAAAAGUGAUCGUGGCCAACCCUGCACCACUACAAAGUAGCGAGAGUGGUCGAAGCAACUUUUACCCGAGAUGGUCGGGAUCGAAUUGCACUGGGAGCUAGAAAUGGGAAUUGGGUUCCUAUCUAAAUUGGAGAUAUGUAAUUGCUCUUAAUUACUCUUCCAAACAUCAUUGGUUUUGAUAUUACUUCUAAUUUUAUGCUAAUAAGAUGCUAAAUAAAGCUAAGAGUAAAAUACUUGAAAAGUUAUCUAAAUGGUUAAAGAGGCACUAGGGAAGUGACUUUCUCCUAGGUGGAUACUUGACAGGUUCUCAAGUCUAAGGCUAGGUUGUCAUGUUAGGGAUUAUGAUAUAACCAAUGCACGAAACUUCUCACUCUAUACCUCUCGGUAGUUUGAGUGAUUUUGCCCUAAUUGACUUUCUCAAGACCAAUUGGUAUGAUAAUUUGUGCAAGCAAUUUAGGUUCAAGUCAGGUAUUACUAUCUCUAGGUUUAACCCUUUAAUUGGGGCUAUCAAUCUCUUGAAUACGCCCCAAUUCCUUGUUGGAAUAAUUUUUUUUNNNNNNNNNNNNNNNNNNNNNNNNNUUAGUGUUUGCAACCACUAAUUCAAUCAUGGAAAACACAAAUUAGUCCAAAUAAUCAAACACCCAUAGACAUUCAAGCCUUAAAAUCCAAGACCCAUCAAAUACCCACACUAGGGUUGAGCUACAACCCUAGCUAAUGAGUCUAGCUACUCAUGAUAAUAGAAGAAAAUAAAGAAAUAGAUGAAGAAAAACCCAUAAGAUUUAAUUACAAGUUAAUACUUGAAGAUUCAAUGAUAAAACUACUCUAAAAUUACUCAAAAUGGUUAAGAACUAUUGUUCACCAGCGCAGCUCAAAGUCAGAUUACAACUGAUGACCUAAAAAAUGGGAAAAGAAAGUAUUUAUACUAGGCCAAAUUUUUUGGAAAAAAAUACUCCUGUGGGGGUAGUGCGGUCCGCACAAAAUCGAGUGCGGCCGCGGUGAGGCUUUUGGCUUCAAAUAUCUGCUCUCUAAACUUGGCCACCACGAGCUACAUAAAAUGCACCGUGGCCGUUGUGGCUUUAAUUGCGGUCGGCACAAAAAGGACCGCAGACCGCAUUGGUGUAAACCUCAAAAUUCCCAACUCUCUAAACUUCAGCUUUGCGGACCGCACAAUUUCGAUUGCGGCCGCGGUGAGGCCAUUGCAGUCCACACUAAAUGCUUUAAGGCCGCAAUGCUUGAGUCUCCGAAAUGGCACCUCUCUGAAUCUCCUCACUGUGGACCGCACUAAAUGGAGUGCGGCCGCAGUGGACCUGUUGCACUGUGCUUGGACUUGUUCUUGGUACUUGUGCAUGUUUCACUCCUUUCUAAGUUCGUUUUGACUAAUUGUCACCUUUUUAACCAAACCCUGCAAACAAGUACAACAUGUAAGCCUUUGGGACUAUUUUGUACACAUUUUUAAUCAAAACUCAAGUAAGAAGGAGUGUAAAAUGAAUCAUAAUCCCUAGUUAUCAGUAUCCCCAAAGACAUUGCUAUGAGGCCUCCAUCCGGUGAUGAGGACGUGCCUUCCGAGUCCCUUGCUCCGAGGCAGGGUGAUGAAAAGAAUAGAAAACGAACCUCGAGUUCUACUAAGGGAAGCACUAGCGCUCUACCCUCGGACACAGUUCACCGGCUAAGGGAUGAGUCCAAAGAAGAAAAAGAAGAAGAUAAAUCCAAGUUGGUGGCCCGCAUGCGGGCUGGUAUCACGAUACAAGAGGCUCUCGAAUCGGCAGGUGCUAAAGUUGAAUCGUCUCGACAUGAGGAGGUCGAUGAGAGAGCUCUGGCUGAAGCUCCCGAAUUAGAAGGAAGUGAAGCCACUCCUCCCAAAGCUAGGGGGUCGCGAGGGAGACCGGGACUGACACUCCUCAAGUAGAGGAAAGUGCCCUGAAAGAUGCACUCGGGGCGAUUGACAUUACUGAGUCUCCUCAGUUCUCAGAUUCCAUGAUCCAUGAGGCCGGUAUGUUAAAAUGUCGUUCUUACGAGGGGCCCCAGCGGGCGACAGAUAUCCACACCUUCUUGGAUAGGUUAGAGUCUACUGCCUUAAAGGAUGUCACUAGGCUCGGAGACUUGUCGGUGCCAAAGAAGGUACCAUCACCGGGAGCCAGUGGGUCUUCCUCGAGCCCAAAGUUAAUGGACCGGUUUCCAGCCCCGAGUGUCGAUCCUAGCCGAAGACGGUCAAUAGUGUUUUCUAUCCUGGAGAAUGCUUGGGUUUUCUCUGCCCGCGUGGGGGUCGCUAGCUACCUUUGCUGUUUGGUGACCGAAGAAGAUCAGGCAGUGAUGGAAAAAGUGGAAACCCCCUGCCUAUUCGAUGAAGCUCAACAAGCAUUAAAUCGGGUAAUUUUGUGUGUCUUUUUUCUUAUGUAUUUUAAAAUUAAGGUUGUAAAUAACCAUAACACCUUCUUUUAUGCUUGCAGGCUUUGGUGUUGCACCAUGAGACUUUCCUCCGAUACCGGGAGGAAUUAACUCAUCAAGAGGCCGAGGUUCGGGGUCUCACUGAGAAUAGGGACACCUACAAACUUCUCAAUAAGAAGCUUCAGACCAAGUUAGUUACGACUCAGAGGGAGUAUACCGAGAUGGUCGAGAAGGUAAUUUGAGUACGUCACGAUAAUGAAGAUGAAUUGGACAUAGUGGCUAACGAUCCGAUACUGCAGGUCCGACAUAGGCUUGAACAAAUCGGGCAGCUCAAGGCACAAGUAGAUACGAUACAAACCGAGGCUGAUGAGUUCAAGAAAAAUAUGGACAUCUUAACCUUGAAAAAGGAAGCCGUCCAAGAACAACAAGAGUUGGCCGAGACCCAGCUCCAGGCUGCAAAAGAGAAAACCUCGGUACAGGUCAAAAAAUCAAGGAACUUCAAUCCUAAUUGGACUUGGCUAUUUAUGAUAAAGAGAAUUUGGCCAAGAAACUCGAGGCGGCCAAAUCAAAUGUGGUUGUGCCCAAGACCGAGGGUGUUGCUAAAGUGGCCCAGUACAAUUUCAACGUUGAGCCGAUUCAUACUCAGGCCAAAAGUAUGGUGGAGCAUGCGAGAUGGCAAGCUCGAAGGGAAGCCCUCGAGGAAGUCCAUGCUCAGAAUUUGAUAUACUGGCUGAAAUCGAGAAUGCCAAAGCAGAAGAAGCCUGGGCCCGGAGACUGGCCUUUCCCGAGGAAGAUUCCGACAGCUUAAGCGAGUCUGAAGGAGGGGAAGAUCCCAAGGAUGAAGAUGUUUCCUCCGAUGAAGACUAGGCCACUUAGGCCUUAUUUCUAUUUUUUGCUUUUUUGCAUCUUUUUGAGGUCGUUUAUGCUGUUGUAGAUUUUUUUAUUAGGUCAUUCUGGCCUUUGUAAAAAGAUUAUUGGGUAAAUAUAUAUAAGGCUUUAUUUCCCCUUCGGCUUUCAAAUUUUUCCUUUGUUUCAUUAUUUGUAUUCACAAAGCCGGAAUGCCUUAGUAUAAAAUAAGUUAGAAUGUAAAAGUUUCGAACAAACCUUGACUUUACAUUAUCGAGGUGUCUUGGGGGUUUGGUGUUACCGGGAAUUUUCUCCCAAAGUAAGUAAUUCAGAUUAUAGUUUGCCAAGGGUAGCCUUUAGAUCCGGUUAUGAAAAAAAAUUCUUUUUUGAAGGCCUAUCUUUUGUUACGUUUCUCGGACGUCUCCGAGCCAUGUUAACAUGGCCUUAGCAUUUUAGUUCGGGCGUCGCCCGAUGGGCAUGCUUUCCUGAGUUAUCCAGGCUUGCCUAAGAUAACAGUCCCCGAUUGGGUAUGGUUGUGGCCUCUAAAAUUCUGGGGUUUCCUAACAGGUCUUAUGCCCCCGAUAUUUAAUAGCUUGGUCAAAUCGAGUUUGUUUUCGGAUGGCAGUCCCUGAGUGAGGGAGUGAUCAUCCUAACUCCGGUUACAAUCAUCCCUUGAGCUCAUUUCGUUUAUGAGAUCGAAAGUACGAAAUUCUUCAAGGGAUGUAGAGAAAAAUUUUAAAACAUAAGAUGAUUGCAAAUAGAGUGCUUCUGUUUAUUCUUGUGCAAAAUAGUUAUACGUGUGUACAUGUCUUAUGACGGGGCUCGAGAAAUCUAUGUGGGAAUGGUUCAUUUGACCGUUUGGACCUUACAACAAAUCCUCCUUAUUGAGACCCUUCCAUUACGAAGUAAUUUCCUCGCUAAAGUCGUUAUCCGAGGGUAAUGCCCCCUAGUAUUCGAGGUUGAUUGUAGAGUAACCUCGGAUACUGUAAACAUGAUACAUACCGAUUCAUGAUCGGCCUUUGACUCUAAGUUAGCAUGAUCCACUGUUUCCUCGUUAAAAACCUUGUCGGAAAACCCAUUUGGGACAAAACCGGUCUAAGGAAAAAAGAGUGCAACACGUGCUUUCAGACCUAAAGCUUCAUGCUGCUUCUUGUCAAUUACCUGCAAAUGUUAGACCGAAAUAAAAGAAAAUGAAUUGGGUCGUACCUUAGCAGUAAUAUCAUUUUAGGUGAGUUACAUUCCAAUUACUCGGUAGUUGUUCUCCAUUCAUCAUUCCGAGCAUAUAGGAUCCUUUCUCAGUGACCUCGAGAAUCCGGUAUGGUCCUUCCCAGUUCGGACCCAACUUCCCUUCAUUUGGAUUCCGGAUGUUUAGUGUGACCCUCGUUAAUACUAAGUCCCCGAUAUUGAAGUAUCGAAGGUUGUCCAUUCGAUUGUAAUACCUCUCGAUCCGUUACUUUUGGGCAGCAAAUCAGAUAAGGGCGGUUUUAUGCCUUUCAUCCAAUAGCUCGAGGCUCGUAUUCAUGGCUUCGUCAUUUGAUUCCUUCAUUGCAUAUCAAUAUCUGAUACUUGGCUCCCCGACUUCGGCCGGUAUUAAAUCUUCAGUACCAUAAACCAAUAAGAAUGGUGUAGCCCCGGUACCGGACUUCGAGGUUGUGCGAUAUGCCGAAAGAACUUCAGGCAGGAUCUCCUUCUAUUUUCCCUUAGCAUCGGUCAACCUUUUCUUAAGGUUUUGGAUUAUGGUUUUAUUGGUCGAUUUGGCUUGUCCGUUCCCACUAGGGUGAUAAGGUGUCAAUAAGAUUCUUUUGAUUUUAUGAUUUUCGAUAAACUUGGUCACUUUGCUGCCGAUAAAUUAUUUCUCAUUGUCACAUACAAUUUCGGAUGGCAUCCCAAACUGACAUAUGAUGUGGUCCCAAAUAAAGUCGAUGAAUUCCUUAUCUCUAACUUUCUCGUCGUUUGGGCUUCAACCCACUUAGAAAAAGAGUCAGUCAUAAAUAAGAUAAAUUGAGCCUUACCUGGUGCCCAUAGAAGACCCCCAACAAUGUUCAUUCCUCCACUUCAUGAAUGGCCAUGGUGACAAGACCGAAUGUAGUAGUUCCUCGGGUUGGUGAAUCAUCAGAGCAUAUCUUUGGCAUUUGUCACAUUUUCGUACGAACUCAUUUGCAUCUUUUUCCAUAUCGAUCCAAUAAUAGUCGGCUCUGAUUACCUUUCGAACCAAUGAUUUGGCGCCUGAGUGGUUUUCGUAGGUGCCCUCGUAGACUUCUCUUAGAACGUACUCGGUAUCUCCCGGUCCCAGAAAUAUUGCUAGUGGGCUAUCGAACAUUCUUCUGAACAAGGUUUCGUCCCCGGAUAGGCUAAAUCGAGUUGCCUUUGUGCGCAGGGUCCUCGAUUAUUUUGGAUCUGAGGGUAAUUUCCCAGUUUUCAAAUAGUCUACGUAUUUAUUUCUCCAAUACCAAGUCAGGCUUGUGGAGUUUAUUUCGGCGUGACCUUCUUCCACUACAGAUCUCAUGAGUUGUACGACUGCCCGCGAGUUGAGCUCGUCGUCUUCGAUCGAAUAGCCUAAGUUUGCCAGUGCAUCGGCCUCACUAUUUUGGUCUCAAGGUACGUGCUGCAAAGUCCAUUCUUUGAAUUAACGUAAUGUUACAUGCAUCUUAUCCAGGUACAUUUGCAUCCGUUCUUUUCUAACUUCAAAUGUUCUGUUAACUUAAUUUACCACAAGGAGGGAGUCGCAUUUAGCUUACAUCACCUCAGCCCCCAAGCUUUUGGCUAGUUCAAGACCUGCAAUCAUGACCUCAUAUUCGGCCUUGUUGUUAGUCAAUUUCAUAGUUCUAAUGGAUUGUCUAACUAUAUUACCUGUAGGUGGCUUCAGUAUGAUGCCAAGUCCAGACCCAUUUGCAUUCGAUGCACCAUCCUUAAAGAGGGUCCAGAUUCCCGAAGACGUCCCCGAGUUUACCAAAUACUCUCUUUCAACCUCUGGUAUUAGGGUCGGCGUGAAGUCAGCCACAAAAUCUGCCAAAAUUUGUGACUUAAUGGCUGUUCGAGGCCGAUAUUCAAUAUCGUACCCGCUGAUUUCUAUGGUCCAUUUGGCCAAUCGUCCCAAGAGUUUGAUUUGUGCAUUAUAUUGUGCAAUGGGUAAGUUGUCACAACACAUAUAGGGUGGCACCGAAAGUACAGAUUCAAUUUUCUAGAGGCGCUUAGCAAAGCGAGUGCCAGUUUUUCUAGGUGAGGACAUCUAGUCUCGGUCUCACCUAAGAUCCGGCUAACAUAAUAAAUCAGAAAUUGCGUACCUUGUUCCUCCCGAACUAGGACUCCACUUACCGCUAUCUCUGAUACUGCCAAUUACAAGUAUAGUUGUUUGUCCGUCCUCGGUGUGUGAAGUAGUGGCUGGCUCGAUAAAUAUCGCUUAAGUUCUUCCAAGGCUCGUUGGCAUUCCAUAGUCCAUGUGAAGUUGUUUUUCUUCUUCAUCAAUUAGAAAAAUCGAUGACUCUUAUAAGAGGACCUCCAAGUGAAUCACCCAGGGCGGCUAUGUGCCCGGUUAACCUUUGCACAACCUUCACAUUGUCCAUUAACGUGAUAUCCUCGAUAUCUUUGAUCUUGUCGGGGUUGAUCUCGAUUCCUCGAUUGGAUACCAUGAACCCAAGAAAUUUACCCGAUCUGACUCCGAACGCGCAUUUUUUCGGAUUCAGCUUCAUGUUGUACUUCUUCAAUAUACUGAAGGUUUCCUGCAAAUAUUUAAAUAGUUCUCUGCUCGCAGGGACUUAACUAACAUAUCGUCAAUGUAGACUUCCAUAGAUUUCUCUAUUUGUUCUUCGAACAUCCGGUUUACUAGGCAUUGGUAUGUGGCACCAACAUUUUUUAAUCCAAAUGGCAUUACGUUAUAAUAGUAUUGAGCCAUACUUAGUGAUGAAGGAGGUCUUUUCUUGAUCAUCCGAGUUUAUUCGUAUUUGGUUGUGCCCAGAGUAGGCAUCUGAGGAUCUCCUGGUUGGCCAGGGCAUCGAUCAUGCGAUUGAUGUUAGGAAAAGGGAAAGAGUCUUUGGGGCAUGCCUUAUUUAAAUCCUUGUAAUCCUCUCACAUUCUCAGUUUGUUCCCUUUUUAGGGACUACUACUAUGUUUUUUAGCCAUUCCGGGUAUUUGACUUCCUGGAUGGACCAUAUUUUAAGGAGUUUAGUACCUAAUAAGUGGGGAUUUUAACCGAUUAUUUGCUCUUUCUCACUUGAGUUUUGGGCUUAAAAUGCAUAAAGGUACUCUCGAAAACUAACAUAAUAUGCUUGCUUGCAGGGAAUUUUUUACAAUGAGCCAAAGUGGCCAUGAUCAACUCAUAAAGGAGUCAAAACAAGAAUAAAGACCAAGACUGGGCCAAGACUGUAGAACGCGGACCGCGACAGAAAAGUGCGACCGCGAAAGUUUCACCGCGGACGUGGUCAUGAAUUCGCGGACAGCAACAAAAAGAUACGACCGCCAAAUGAAUGGCAUGGCUGCGGUUAAAAUUCUAAUGAUAGUGUGUGCUAAGGAUUCAGAGACUUUGCAAGUUGUACAUGAAUGAAGAACACGAUCCGUGGUAAGAAUACGCGGCCGCGAAAAUCACCAACGCGGACGCGAUGAGAAAAACACGGUCCGCAAAACAAGUUCCAGCCCAGCCUCAGAUGUAAAGAAACGCGGACAACACUCAGUAUUACGCGGUCGCGAAAGCAAGAGCGUAGCCGCAGUGAGAAAUACGCGGACGCAAAACCUCCUCAUGGGCAUUUUUAUCCGAAAAUUUCAGCCUAGUAUAAAUAGAUCUUCUUCACAUUUUUUUGGUGAUAUUAUGUUUUGCUGAACACGUGAGACGGCUAAUUUUUCCUAUUUGGGCAAUUUUGUACAAGAUUUACCUUAUAACUUUAGAUUUUUAUCUUUUAAUUUAGCAUUAUGGAUUUUAUCUUUUCUUUAUCUUUGAUUUCUGCUAUUAUUAUGAGUAGCUAAACCCAUAGCUAGGGUUGUGACCCAACCCUAGUGUGAGUAUUUAAUGGGUCUUGAAUUUUAGGGCUUGAAUGUGUAUGGGUUAGUGAUUUUUAGCCUAGUUCUUGCUUGAACUUUUGAAUUAGUGGUUGCAAACACUGAUUUAUGCCUUUAUGACUUAGUCUCUACUUGAGAAAGAGGGACUAAGUCUAGGAAAACUAGGCUAACAAGGAAUUGGGGUGAACUCAAGAAAUUGAUAGCCCCAAUUAAAGAGUUAAACCUAGAGAUAGUAACACCCGACUUGAGCUAAAAUCACUUGAAUUGCAUGAAUACUCAUUUAGACUUGAGAAAGCCAAAUUAGGCAAAAUCACUCAAACUACCGAGAGGUAUAGAGUGAGUACCCCGAGAGUGAUGGCAAUAUCAUGACCCCAAUUAAUCACAUGAUUGCCCUAGAUUCUUGCUACCCGUUAGGUAUCCAUCAAGGCGGAAGUCACUAUCCUAGUCCCUUUUUAUCUUUGAAAACAACCAACAAAAAUAUUGUACUUAGUUUCAAAUACUGCAUGCGAUAGAAUAGAAGUAGAAGUAGAAAACAACCAACCAUUUGUGGAAGUACAAUUAGGAGCAAAACUCACAUCUCUACUCAGAUAUAAACCUAACUCCAGCCUAAUUAACUCCCUGUGGAUUCGAUCCCGACCUUUGUUGGGUAAAACUGCAUCAACCAUCCUUGCUAUUCAAUAGUAGUAAGGUUUGGAACCAAUCAAUUUUUGGCGUCGUUGCCAGGGAGUUAAACGGUUUUAACUAUAUCUCCGAGUAUCUGUGUGUUUUGUUUUUCUUUCCUUCCAUUUUUCUAAUUUGUUUAUGAACUACUUUUCGGUACAAAAUGGCUCUUAACAAUGAUGCUCUCGGAAAUUUGCCAUUGGGGGAGGAGGUAGAUGAUGAUAAUGUGGAUGAGAUUCAACCCGAACCACAAGCACAAAUGGGAGGUUGACCGCCUCAUAAUAAUAUUCAAAACCCUCCCCCACCUCCAACAAGGGCAGCACAUCGGGUGUUGCCCAAUGAAGGAUACGCAAGUGCAAUAGACCCGCCCCAGAUUAGGGCGGGCAACUUCCAAAUAACAAAUAUCAUGCUUACACUCUUGGAACAGAGGGGUUUCUUUACCGAAGCUCCACACCAAAAUGCCUACAAGCAUCUCAAUGGAUUUAUUGAUACAUGCUGGGGGAGCAAGCAAACUAACGUUUCUAAGGAUGCGUUGAGAAUAAGGCUUUUCCCAUUUUCUCUAAGGGGGAAGGAUUUGGAUUGGCUUGAAAGGUUGCCCAACCAUUCCAUCACCACUUGGGAUGAGUUGGCCUAGAAAUUCAUAGCAAAGUUCUUCUCGUCGAGACAUAUGGAGACACUGAGAGAUGCGAUCCUUGCCUUUAAACAAGAGCCAAAUGAACCACUUCAUGAGAUUUGGGAAAGGUAUUGGACGAUGGUUAAAGAAUGUCCGAACAAUGACAUGACCGAAGCCAUGAUCGAACAAACAUUCUACCGCGGAAUCAACACUACCAACCAGUGUGUAGUUAACCAACUCGCCGGGAGAAACUUCAUGAACACACCUUAAGCUGAGGCGUGUGAUAUACUUGAUAAGUUGGCUGAUACGUCCUCGGUGUGGCAAAGUCGAGCUAAUGUGCCAUAAGAUGAUCCCAAUGUCAUUCACCUGCACAAAGAACUCCAUGAUCACGGCUAAGCAAUAACCGAGUUAACUACGACCAUGAACCAGUUGGCCAAAGCUCAAUUGCAACAAGUUCAAGGGCCAAAACAAGUGAAUGUCAUAGAAGGGGUAAAUAUGAUGGUCAACAAGAGGAGGCAAAGAGGUCAACAAAGUCAAGGAAAUCCGGAUCAAUUUGAGCAAGGUGGUGGUGAUUACAAUCAAGAUGAUGUGUAUGAUGAUCAAAGUGAAGAGGUUCAGUAUGUGAACAACUACCAAGGACAACAGGGCAAUACUCCGAACCAAUAACAACAGUGGAGAUCCCAAGGAAAUUGGGGAAAUUAAAAUAAACAAGGAAAUUGGAACUGUGGCAACAAUAACAACCAAAGCAACUGGGGGAAAAACAAUCAAAAUUGGGGCACCCAACGUAACCAAGGCGAUUGGGGUGGCAAUAACAAUAGCAAUUAGGGUGGCAAUAACAACCAAGGGGGUUGGAAUAACAAUAAUCAGGGAAAUCGGGGGUCGGGCUUUCAAAGGCUUUCGAUGUUUCAACAACCUAACAACCUGCCUCCAUAUCCAUCACAAGGUCCUAGCUCGUCCAACAAUGAGAUAGGACAUAUUGAGAUAAUAUUUGAGCAAAUGAUGAAGAAAAAUAUUUGAUGCCCAACUGGCAUCCCAAAAUACUUCUAUCAGCAACUUAGAGGUCCAACUUGGCCAAAUUUCUCAAGCUUUGAAUACUCGCCCUAAGGGGGCACUACCUAGUGACACGGUAGUAAACUCGAAGGAGGGAACAAUACGGGCCAUGCCAUAGCGGUGACUACAAGGAGUGGUAGAGGUGGAGUUGUUAGUACCUCUAAUGCAAGAAAGGUUGUGAGUGAUGAUGUGUUAGUGCAAGAUGAUGAUGAGCAAAGAAAUGAUAUGCAAGUGAGUGAUGGGAAUAUGCAUGAAGAAGUGAGAAUUGACAUUGAUGACAACGUGGAGGAGACACAAAAUGAUGUGAACCCGUCUAGGGAACACGUAAUAGACAUACCGAAAACUAGUGCCCAAAGCCAAGGCUCCUUUUCCAAGGCCUCCUCCACCAUACCCUCAAAGGCUUGCAAAACAAAACAAUGAGAACCAGUUUAAGAAAUUUAUUGAUAUGGUGAAAAGUUUGUCCAUAAAUAUGUCUUUGGUGGAAGCUCUAGAACAAAUGCAAGGAUAUGGCAAGUUUAUGAAAGACUUGGUAACAAAUAAGAGAUCCAUGAAUUGUGAAACGAUCAAGAUGAUGCACCAAGUGAGUGCCAUUGUACAUUCCAUGGCCCCAAAACUAGAGGACCCCGGUGCUUUUACAAUCCCGUGCACUUUUGGUAGUGCCGAUUUCGCCAAAGCUUUGUGCGACUUGGGGGGAAGCAUUAACUUGAUGCCAUAUUCUGUGUUCAAGACAUUGGGGAUUGGGAAACCAAGACCCAUAUCCAUGAGGUUGCAGAUGGUGGAUAGGACAAUAAAGAGUCCAUUGGGGAUAUUAGAUGAUGUGUUAGUUCGCGUCGAAAAGUUCAUACUUCCCAUGAAUUUUGUGAUACUUGACUGCGAGGUUGACUAUGAGGUGCCGAUCAUAUUGGGGAGACUUUUCUUAGCUAUAGGNNNNNNNNNNNNNNNNNNNNNNNNNNNNNNNNNNNNNNNNNNNNNNNNNNNNNNNNNNNNNNNNNNNNNNNNNNNNNNNNNNNNNNNNNNNNNNNNNNNNNNNNNNNUGUUGUGUUCCAUAUCUGCAAGUCAAUGAGGCAGCCCAAUAACAACGAAGUAUGUUCAUUUGUGGAUCUUGUGACCAAGCUGAUUGUUGAAGACACCAGUGCUGUGAUUAAUGAGGAUGACCCUUUGGAAUCUAUGUUGUUGAACCAUGAUGUGACUGAGGAUGAAGGUUUGGUGGAAUAUGUCAAUGCUUUGCAAGGAAUAGGUUCAUACACAUAUGAGCCCCGAAAACUUUCCUUGGAUCUUGAGAACCGAAAGACUUCACCAACAAAGCCCUCAAUCAAGGAGCCUCCAAUAUUGGAAUUGAAGCCUUUGCCUUCACACCUCAGGUAUGAAUUCUUGGGCCCUUGUUCGACUUUACCUAUUAUUCUUUCUUCGUGCUUAACUAACGUGCAGGUAGAUGCCAUUCUUGCGAUGCUCCAAAGAAGGAAGAAGGCAAUUGGAUGGACUCUGGCUGACAUUCAGGGGAUAAGCCCUGCCUUUUGCAUGCACAAAAUUAUACUAGAUGAUGAUGCCAAACCCUCCAUGGAACACCAAAGGAGCUUGAAUGAGGCGCAAGAGGUCGUCAAGAAGGAAAUUAUCAAGUGGCUAGAUGCAUGGGUGGUGUACCCCAUUUCGGAUAGUUCAUGGACUUCGAUGUUACAAUGUGUGCCGAAGAAGGAGGGCAUGACUAUGGUCACAAAUGAGAAAAAUUAGUUGAUCCCCACUAGGACUAUCACUGGAUGGAGGGUAUGCAUGGAUUAACGAAAGCUGAAUAAAGUGACCUGCAAAGAUCAUUUUCCAUUGCCCUUUCUUGACCAAAUGUUGGAUAGACUUGCCGAGCGUGCCUACUAUUGCUUUUUGGAUGGGUACUUAGGUUACAACUAGAUUUUGAUUGCAUCGGAAGACCAAUAGAAAACCACCUUCACAUGUUCGUAUGGCACCUUUGCAUUCUCACGGAUGUCAUUUGGUUUAUGUAAUGCACCAGCUACCUUUCAGCGGUGUAUGAUGGCAAUAUUUACGGACAUGAUGGAGGACUUCCUUGAAGUGUUCAUGGAUGAUUUUAGUGUUGUGGGUGAAUCCUUUGAAGAACACUUGGAUAAUCUUGACAAAGUAUUGGCCCUAUGUGAAGAGACCGACCUAGUGCUUAAUUGGGAAAAGUGCCACUUUAUGGUUAAGGAGGGCAUUGUCCUCGGCCAUAAGAUCUCAAAGAACGGUAUCGAAGUAGACAAGGGAAAGAUUGAAGUGAUUUCAAAACUCCCUCCUCCUACUUCCGUCGAAGGAGUGAGGAGCUUUCUAGGGCAUGCGGGGUUCUAUCGUCGGUUCAUCAAGGAUUUCUCAAAGGUGGUGAAUCCCUUGUGCAAGUUGUUGGAAAAGGAUGCAAACUUUGUGUUCAAUGAUGGUUGCGUGAAAUCUUUUGAGCUUCUAAAGUAUAUAUUGACUACCACUCCCAUCAUUACCGCACCCAAUUGGAGCUUACCAUUUGAGCUCAUAUGCUAUGCUAGUGACAUUGCGGUAGGAGCGGUUUUGGGGCAAAGGAUCAACAAGAUAUUUCAUCCGGUCUAUUAUGCAAGAAAAAUGAUGAAUGAUGCCCAAGUCAAUUAUACGGUGACCGAGAAAGAUUUACUUGCCAUUAUCUUCGCCAUGGAAAAGUCCAGGCCAUAUCUCAUGGGUACCAAAGUGAUUGUGUACACCGAUCACGCGGCACUCCGUUACUUGAUGACAAAAAAGGAGUCUAAGGCUAGGUUGAUGAGAUGGGUUCUACUACUUCAAGAUUUUGACCUUGAAAUUAUUGAUCGAAAAGGGUGUAAAAUCAAGUGGCAGACCACUUGUCCCGCUUGGAAGAGGAGGGGAGGCCCCAUGAUGGCCUCGAAAUUAAUGAUUCAUUUCCGGAUGAAAAACUCCUCUCCGUGUCUUUGAAUAGUAUGCCUUGGUUCGCCGAUGUGGCUAACUUUCUUGUUACCGGCAUUGUCCCGAGUGAGCUCUCUUCUAACCAAAGGAAGAAGCUUAAAUGGGACAGCUUGGAUUAUUAUUGGGACGAGCCAUAUCUCUUCAAUAUUUGUAAUGAUGGUGUGAUCCGGAGAUGUGUUCUGGAAGAGGAUCAAAUGAGUAUUCUUGAUGUUUGCCAUUCCUCGCCCUACGGUGGUCAUCAUGGUGGGAUGAGAACUACUUCAAAGGUUCUCAGCUGUGGAUUUUAUUGGCCUACCCUGUAUAAAUAUUCUAGUGAGCUUGUUUAGAGGUGUGAUGAGUGUCAGAGAGCGGUGGAAUUUCCAAGAAGGAUGAAAUGUCUCUCACUACUAUUCUUGAGAUUGAUAUUUUUGAUGUAUGGGGAAUUGACUUUAUGGGUCCAUUUGUGAGUUCAUGUGGGAACACCUAUAUUCUUGUUGUUAUGGAUUAUGUCUCCAAAUGGGUUGAAGCUGUGGCUUUGACCAACAAUGAAGCACGAAGUGUGGUGGCAUUCUUAAAGAAAAACAUAUUCACAAGGUUUGGCACUCCAAGGGCGAUCAUCGGUGAUGGGGGUUCUCAUUUUUGUAACAAAGCCUUUGACACUUUACUCUCCAAGUAUGGUGUCACUCACAAGGUGUCAACUCCCUAUCACACCCAAGCAAGUGGAUAGGUUGAGGUCUCUAAUAUGGAGAUCAAGAAUAUUCUUUCCAAGAUUGUCAAUGCAAACUGGACUGAUUGGUCAAGGAAACUUGAUGAUGCUUUAUAGGCCUAUAGAAUAGCUUACAAGACUCCAAUUGGUAUGUCCUCGUAUCGGUUGGUAUUUGGGAAAGCAUGUCACCUCCCAGUGGAAUUAGAGCAUAAGGCCAUGUGGGCGCUUAAGAAGUUAAACCUUGAAUGGGUUGUAGCUGCAAAUCUCCGUGUAGAGAAACUAAAUGAACUUGAUAAAUUCCGGUUUCAUGCUUAUUAUAGCUUGUCCUUGUAUAAGGACAAGAUGAAGAACUUACAUGAAAAUAUGCCCGGAACAAGGCAUUCAAGGAGGGUGACUUGGUUCUUCUAUUCAACUCUCGAUUACGACUGUUUUCGAGAAAUCUCAAGUCAAAAUGGAGUGGCCCUUUUGAAGUAGUGCAUGUAACUCCAUUUGGUGCUCUUGAUUUGAAAAACAAAAAUGGUGAAAUCUUCAGAGUUAAUGGGCACCGAGUGAAGCACUAUCUUGGCAAGUUUGAUGAUAGCCAUGUUGUGGCAUUGAUCCAUUUUAAGUGAAUGAUGGCAAUAUGCAUCGUGUCGCGACGUUAAAUCAGGCACUUCUUGGAAGGCAACCCAUGUGUUUUUCUUUAUUUUAAUUUUUCUUCUUAGAUUAGGCUUUGUUUUGGACUAACUGGUUGUGAAGUUUGUGUAGGAAUUGGUUGUGCAGUGCAGGAUUUUGACAAAGGAAAUUUUUGUCUAAGUGUUGGUAAUUCGCGGACCGCGUCCACAAUUUGGCGGUCCGCAUUAGCCUUUCAUGGCCACAUAUUUUUGUUCGCAUACGUGUACUUGAAGAGCUCAAAAUACCAGCUCUCUGAAGUUGAGUUCGCAUCCGUGUUCACAGUUUGGCGGUCUGCAGUGAAUUCCGUGACCGCGUUCAUAAUUUCAGGACCGCGAUCAGUUGCUUGAGGUUGUUCUUCAUCAGGUAAAAGAACGCGGACCGCGGUAGAAUUUUGCGGCCGCGUUCAGGUAAGUUUGUAGGGUCCAUAUCUGCUAAGUAUAAAUAGGAGGUCCCUAGACCUUUUACCCUUUUCGAACCCUAAAUUCUCACUGAAACCUAGCACUAUUCACUUUCAUCUAUUUUGCUCUCAAUCUCAUUUUACUAAUCAAGAGUCCAAUUUCCUCUUAAUAACACAACUGGUAUGCUCAAAUCCUCACAUUGAUUUUAUAUGUUGCUCCUCUUUUCUCUUAGUUUUAAUUUUUUCUUUUUAGUUACGGUUUUAAUACUUGCAAUAAUCGCAAAUUGAGGCCUAAAUUCAUAUGGGUAAUUUUUACAUGCGUAAUGGGGGAUAGAGUUAUUAACUAUGCUUGUAAUUGCACUAAUUUUUGUACUUAGUGAAAAUCCUAGGUUACAAAUGAUUGUCAGUGCCAGCUUUGUUUGAGUUUUGCGGUCCACAGUCCACUUUUUCACGGACCGCAUUCCCUAAUUUGUGGGACCUGAGUGUGUAUGUAUGUUGGCGGACGCGAUGAUUUUUCCGGAGUCUGCAUUUGAAUUUAUGCAGCCUCGUCCCAAAAUUUGCGGCCCGCGCUCUUGAGCUUCAGAGAAGUCUGAUAACAGCUUUUGCGAUCGCGUCUACUUUUUCGCAAUUUGCGGUUGUUCAUUCGCAGCCGCAUCUACUUUUUCGCGAUCCGCGGUGAUCAAAGAUCAGAAGGUUAGUAGUAUGAUCCCAACCUCUUCGCGGCCGCGGUUACUUCUUUGUGGUUCGCAAUUGGCACUUCAUGGCCGCAUUCACUUUUUCACGGUUCCUGGUUUUGAGAAGCAGCUUUUAUUUUUCAACUGCAUUAUUUUAACAUGUUUGAAGCUUUGUUCUGACUGUUAUUCUUUGCUUGUUUGCUACAGACAAUGGUCUGAUCCAUAAAUGGAAGCGAUACAGCUAAAGGGAGGGUAGAACCCCUAGCAGUCCAAAAAUAAAUUUGGAACAUGAGAGCUGCCAUCAAAGUUGCGGAUAGGGAAGCGGACCACUUAGAUACUAGUGAAUAUGUCCCUUCCCGGGAAGCUUCGGAAGGAGACUCGGUGCCCACUCAUGUCCCCACACAGUUCCCGGGGAAAUACUAGUUGAGAUAUGAGACUACCUCCUUUUCUGAGUCGUCUGAUAGCUCAGAGGAAGGUAGUGAGGGUUCGACACCAUCUUCCCCACCUGCUACAACUUCGGCUGCACCAGCUACACCUAUUCUGGUGGAUGAUGAUGAUGAGGUCUCGGAUGACGAGAGAGGGGGUGACACCAAUAUUGGGGGGGUGGCUAGACCCAAAAAAGCCGAGGUGUGGGCUGACCGAUUGUGAGUGAAUUGGCCUACCAAAAGUUCCGGGAAUGGUGUCCCCAAAGGUCACUCGCCCUUGAGAGGCAAUUCAUAGAGAGAGACCUCCUACCCCACAAUCCAAAUGUAAAAAUGCAGUUCGAGGAGAGAAUAGGGUGGAAAUUCUUCACCAGCAAGGUUCCAGAUACCAAUGAAUACCUUGUCAAGGAAUUUUAUGCAAACAUUUUCCUCAUCAAAAAGGGCACCACAGUGACAAAUGUCCGAAAUUUGAAGAUCCGGUUUGAUGGGCACACUUUGAAUGAGUAUGUUGGUUUUGAGUAUGUGGAUGCAGUGCAAUAUUUGGAGAAGCUGGCACUUGAUGAAGCAGCCCCUCCAUGGUUGGCAUAGAUAUUGGCUCCAGGGACGUCACCAUCAUGGCUCACAGCUGGAGUCCCAAUAUAUAGAAACACCCUUAGUUUUGAAGCCAACGGGUGAUCUACCUUUGUGUGUAGCCGGUUGGAUCCGUGUCAGCAUGACAAUGUCCUCCACUCACCUGGUGUGUCUUGAUUGCCUCCAUCAUAGAGGGGUUUCCUAUCAAUGUGGGGAACCUCAUGUACUAUCAUAUAACGAAGGCAGUCGGAACUUCCUCACCCUGUACUUCGAGGACCAAGGAGUUGAGAAGAAGAUUUAUGACACAAAGACAAAGCCAAAGAAGACCUUCUCCUGGUAUAGCACAAAAGGACUGGACAACCCUAUAGCAAAGGGUAAAGCUGUUAUCUCCACUGGCCAGCCUGAAGAGCCAAGGGUAGUAGCCGCCGGGUCAGAGCCUUCCACAGUAAGAGGAUCUUCUGCCAUACCUCCUCCUUCAUCCGGGCCAUCCAUCACAAUGUCGUUAUCUGUUCUAUCUUCUUCCACCUAUCCCUCAGACUACACUGCGGGUUCCUCAAACUUUGUCCAGUAUUAACAACUGGAUGCAGGCAGCAAUAUCAAAGAUGUCUGUCUUAUCCAGCGCAGUGGCAGCAUAGUCAGCCCUGUUACAGCCCCAGGUGCCUUUAUCAAUAGAGGAGUCAUUGAAGGAUCUUUUGGACAACCAGAAGAAGCUCUUAACAACCAGCAAAAGAUUAUGGAUACUUUAGAUAUUCAUGGAAGGGCUAUAAAGAACUUGGGCAAGAAAAUCAAGAAGAUGUAGAAGACUCGGGCUUCAAAGGAAUCAGUGGAGCAGCUUAGGAAGGAUAUGGAGAGGUUCACAUUUGUUGGUGAUAUCCCACUGGAUUAGCUCAUGGAGGAGCAAGUCCCAGCAGCACAUGCAGCAGAGCAGCAGGCACCAGCAGCUGGCCAGUCUGAGGAGCCAGCUGGAGCUACACAUAGAGUUGCAGAGUUGAUCCAGAUGCUCCGCAACCUCGUGGUCCCACAGUCAAAUUUGGAGAUUCAGUUAGAGGACCCGAAAGGAGCUGCUGAUCCUAUGCAGUCCGAGGACUCCUCUCAUGUGCCAGACCCGAUGCAGACCACAUAGGGAGUUUUCUUUACUCUCUAAACCUUCCCCUAAUCUUAUUUGCUUUUAGCAUUGAGGACAAAGCUAUCUUUUAUUUGGAGGGGGGUGGUGGGGGGUCUAUUUUGAUUUGGUAUGUAAUGACUAUGACUCUUUUUUUUCUUUCUUUACUUCUCUUUAUUUUACUUUUGGUAUGUUUAUAUUCAUUAAUUCCACAUUUGGUAUGUAUAUAUUUUUACGAUUUGAUGUAUAUAUUCAUUUUUAUUUAUGUAAAUAUUCAUUUUACUUCAAUUGUGUAUAUAUUCAGUUGAUUUUUGUAUUUGACUUCAUAGCUUCUUAUUUCUCUUAGUAGUUUCUUGUUAAGUUGUUAGCUUCUUUUUACAUUUUAUGUGGAUAAUAAGCCUUUGGUUUUCUUAAUGUCACAGUGUUUCCAAAGGUGGAUGUUGUGUGAACCGGGUGGCUCUUCCCGAUGAUAGAUGGCGUGACAGCCUUUUUAAGGGUUUGAGUCUGUUUUCUUUAUAUUUUUGUGUAAAUAGUAGUAAUGAAUAAAAGUGUCUCAUGAAAGCUUCACUUGGGCCAAACACAUUUACCUUUGACCUUAUGGUUGAAAAUAAGUUGAUUGGCAAAGAAUAGUUCUAUUUGUGACCUUUAGACUCUUGUUUUGACUAAACAAUCAUCGAGUGGCUUCUUGGAGCCAUUUGUAUUGCUCAAUCAUAGCUAGGGUUGUUGUGGGCCCUCGACUCUGUUCUCUUUAGCAAUCCAACAGCUUGUGAGGUGAGGUAUUGAUUUGCAAGUCCAAGUCCCGUGCCGAUAAGUCUAGAACUUGCCCUAAAUGUUUGUCUAGGCAAAAUCCUAAGUGUAACUCGACUUGAGAAAUGAUUAAAGGCUCUCCUUGAUCCAAUUUGAAACUUGAAAUCAUCCAUAGCCUAACAUAUAUGAUAUCCCUAGUCAACCCUGUUUAGCCGAAGCCCUUUUUCUUUCAAUAACCGUUCUAUAAUGACCCUUUCUUGGCACCCAAUCUUUUCUUAGCAUUCACAAUUGGCAAAAGCAUAAGUUUGGGGGAGAGAUGAGGAAUGUGAAAGUGAAAAAAGGUACAAAAUGAAUAAAAGGGAAGCCAAAUGAAAAGAAAUAAAAGCCAAAAAAUCAAAAAGAAAGUGAAUAAUAUAGAAAAGUGAAGGGAUUCAAUGAAAGUGAUGAUGAAAGGCAUGGAAUGAUUACAAAAGGAGAAAAAUGAUCAUCAUAAGCAAGAAAGAGUGACAGUGUGUCUCUCUAGUUCCCCUAAGGAAGAAGAAAAUAACUCAAAGAGUCAAGAAAGUGUAAGCCGAAAUGAGAAAAUAGAGUGCUUAAGAAAAGAUGAAACCAUCACAUGCAAAUAAACUCCUACCUUAAACUAAAAGCCUUCAUUACAUUCCCACAAAAUCCCUAUAUGAUUUCGAGUUGAGUGAGCUUACAUUAGUGGUGAUUUACAUAAGGGGCAAGUUUAUGGUACUUAGAGCCGGACUUGUGACCCCCCUUGAGAGAGAUGAGCGUACUUCUCCACAAUCCUUGUUUUGAGUGCUACAAUCUAAAGUGAGAUUUGCCUAUGGAGAGUAGAGGAGAAAGAUUUUGGGUUCCACAAUGACCUACGUAAUAGAUCGAGAUUCCUUGGUGAAUCUAGUCAACUCUUGAUGCUCUAGUGUUGCAUUAGAACCAUGGUACUAAAGAGAUUGUGUGUUAUUGAUGAUUCACUUGUGUUAAGGGUAAUUGUUAGUCCCAAUUGAUGCAUGUUUUAUUGACAUUAGGGCAGCUGAAAUUUCCUUCUGUUUUGUUUUAAUGGUGGUGGGAAUUACCUUAUUUUCUUGAGAACAAGUAAACGUUUAAGUUUGGGGGAGUUGAGAAGUGGGGAUUUUAACCUAUUAUUUGCUCUUUCUUACUUGUGUUUUGGGCUUAAAAUGCGUAAAGGUAUUCUCGAAAACUAACAUAAUAUGUUUGUUUGUAGGAAAUUGUUCACAAUGAGCCAAGGUGGCCAUGAUCAACUCAUAAAGGAGCCAAAACAAGAAUAAAGACCAAGACUGGGCUAAGACUGUAGAACGCGGACCGUGAUAGAAAAGUGCGGCCGCAGAAGUGUCACCGCGAACGCAGUCAUGACUUCGCAAAUCGCGAAUGGGAGAAUCAGAGAGGUGGUAUUUUGAGAACUUCAGGGGCGUGGACAGAGACAAAAAGAUGCGGCCGCCAUAUGACUUGCAUUACCGCAGUUGGAAUUCCGCUAACAGCAUGUGGUAAGGAUUCAGAGACUUUGCAAGUUGUACAAGAACGAAGAAUGCAGUCCGCGGUAAGAAUACGCGGCCGCAAAAUUCACCAAUGCGAACACGAUGAGAAAAACACGAUCCGCAAAACAAGUUCCAACCCAGCCUCAGAUGUAAAGAAACACGGACCGCGCUUAUUAUUACGCAUCCGUAAAAGCAAGAGUGAGGCCGCGGUCACGUGGCCGCAAAACCUCAGCAAAGGGCAAUUUUGUCCAAAAAUUUCAGCUUAGUAUAAAUAGAUCUUUUUCACAUUGUUAAGCAAUGUUAUGUUUUGCUAAACACGUGAGACGGCUAAUUUUUCCUAUUUGGGAAAUUUUGUACAAGAUUUACCUUAUAACUUUAGAUUUUAAUCUUUUAAUUUAGCAUUAUGGAUUUUAUUUUCGCUUUAUCUUUGAUUUCUGCUGUUAUUAUGAGUAGUUAAACCUAUAGUUAGGCUUGUGACCCAACCCUAGUAUGGGUAUUUAAUGGGUCUUGAAUUUUAGGGCUUGAAUGUGUAUGUGUUAGUGAUUUUUAGCCUAAUUCUUGCUUGAACUUUUGAAUUAGAGGUUGCAAACAUUAAUUUAUGCCUUUAUGACUUAGUCUCUACUUGAUAAAGAGGGACUAAGACUAGGAAAACUAGGCUAACAAGUAAUUAGGGUGAACUUAAGAAAUUGAUAGCCCCAAUUAAAGGCUUAAACCUAGAGAUAGUAAUACCCGACUUGAGCUAAAAUCACUUGAAUUGCAUGAACACUCAUUUGGACUUGAGAAAGCCAAAUUGGGAAAAAUCACUCAAAAUACCAAGAGGUAUAGAGUGAGUAACUGAGAGUGAUGGCUAUAUCGUGACCCCAAUUAAUCACAUGAUUGCCGUAAAUUCUUGCUACCCGUUAGGUAUCCACCUAGGCGAAAGUCACUACCCUAGUCCCUUUUUAUCAUUGAAAACAACCAACAAAAACAUUGUACUUAGUUUCAAAUACUGCAUGCGAUAGAAUAGAAGUAGAAGUAGAAAACAACCAACCAUUUGUGGAAGUACAAUUAAGACCAAAACCCACAUCUCUACUUGGAUAUAAACCUAACUCCAACCUAAUUAACUCCCUGUGGAUUCGAUCCCAACCUUUGUUGGGUAAAACUGCAUCGACCAUCCUUGCUAUUCAAUAGUAGUAUAGGUUUGGAACCGAUAAGUUACCUUAUCCUUGAUGAAAGCAUGCUUGAUCUCGGACAGUGGUCUCCCUUUCUGGUUGACCGGAUGGAAUUUCAGGUCCAGGCUUAGUUUGUGUGUGGUGAUCUCUGGUGGGAUCCUUGUCAUGCCGAGAUGGGACCAAGCAAAAAAAUUCAUGUUAGCAAUACGAAAUUGAAUGAGUUUUUUCCUGAGCUCGGGAGUUAACCCCGUGCCCAGGUAUACAUUUUGAUCGGGCAAAUAUUCGAUUAGUAUGACUUGCUUCAGCUCUUCGACCGUUGAUUUGGUAGCGUCGGAGUUAUCGGGGACUAUGAAGGAUCGAGGAACCCCGUAAUCAUCGUCUUCGUCAGUCCCCUGCUUGUCCGGUUGGGUCGAGGUCGGCAUCAGUGAUUGCUAUUUGGCUUCCUAUUUUGUUUUCGAAUCGAGCUCCUUUGUCGAUGAGAGUGUUGAUAUUGGAAUUACUUUAUCGACGACAAACAUUUCCUUUGUGGCGGGCUGAUCCCCGUAGAUCAUUUUAAUUCCCUCUGGUGUCGUGAAUUUUAACACCUGGUGAAGGGUCGAGGGCACAGCUCUCAUGUUAUGGAUCCACGUUCUCCCGAACAGAGCGUUAUACCUGUCACACUCCUUUUUUACCUUACUAACCCUCUUAAAAAUAUAAAAAGAUUUUUGAAUCUCAAAAGGGUUUUCAAUUUGAAAAGUGACAAAAGAUUGCAUUUUGAAGGAUUUUUCAGAGUCGCCACCUGACAGUUGGUUUCGGUGUGCUAGGUCACUGUUUUUCUUAACAAUUUCCUUUCAAAACACAUUUGACUCUUAAACCAGUUUGCACUAGAGAUUCUAGAUAAGUGGGUUCAUUUGACUUUGGGAGAAGCUGUGAAGCAUUCCCCGAGUCCUAUAACUAGUACGGUUGUGUACAUGAUCAAGUUGGCUUUUAAAAUAUUCGAAUUGAGGUAAUUAUAAGAGGCUCAAGAUCGUUCCACCUAAUAGAAGAAAGAUAAAAAUAAAAAUGAAAUAGAAAUAAAAGUACUACGAGUUCGGUUUCAGCCUCCAAUUAUAGAAUACUACGGGGCAUUCCCCGAAAUAAAAUAUAUACAAAUCCUUCGGGGCAUUCCCCGGAUGAAUUUAACUAAGGGAACGACCUCUCGCCUCAAAACUAACAAAAAUUCUAAGGCUUGCCUACCCAAGUGUGGUCGGCCUACGUAUGUUCCUAACGAAAGUAUCAAACAACAAAAUUAAUUUAAACUGCGACUCAACUUAACAAAUUGGCAUGGUAAAACAAUAAUCCAAAACUUAAACCCGUUAAAGGCUACGUCCGUGUAAAGCCUAAAUGUCAGCCAAACAUUCACAUUGAUUUAAUUUCUUCCAUCCAAACCUAAUUACUGUUAAAAGGUCCUACUAUUAAUUUUAGUCACUAUCCUAACCAACUAAUUUGCUAAGCCUCAUUCACAUCUUAAAAAAUUUUGUUCUCAUCACAUAUUGGCAUUUGCAUAACAAUUUCUUAUAAUUAAAAAUUUUAUAAACAAAGGACUAGUCAAGCAACGAUAAACCUAAGAAUGCAAAUCAUCCAUACGACAAUGACUAGAAUACGGUAGUAAACAAACACAAAACAUUCAUAUGAGAAAUGAUAAAUGAGGAAGAGUUUAGAAUGGACCUCAAUUAUAUUAACAAGAACUCGGUUAUAGCAAACUUCGGCGAACUAAAUUUGACCAGAAAACAAAAUAGUAGCAAGAGCACUGCGAACCACAGAAUUAACCUUGAACAGCACCACCAAACCAUGAAGCAGCAACCGAAAUCAAAUUGUGACUAAAAUAGUUAACAAAUCUGCUCCUUUGCUAACUAAAACUCCAAUUAGUAAAGAGUGUAAAAGACUCACUGUUCCAUUAACGGGUCAAAUAAAAACAGAAAUCAGAGCUGACAGCCAAUGCAAAUCGAAAAAUCAAAGCUGGAGAAUUUGAGUGCGGGAAAUUCGAACGGAUUUAUAGGGUCGAAUGCAUAGACCCAUUUUAGGAUCCAAAAUUGGCUGAGUUUUAAGGUUUUACGAGAAUUUCUACAGUUUUCCUAGGUUGGUUAGGUUUGGGUUAUUUUGUGGGUGGAUCAAGGCUGGGGGUGAAGAAGAAGCAGUCGCUGCUUGAAGGGUCUUUGGUGGGCAACGGUGGUCUCCUGUUCGUGUGUGUUAGCUGGAGAGGAUGACUUAGGGUUUUUAGGGUUAAGGGUGGUAGUAGAUGGUGGAGAAGGGUGGUGUGACGAAGAAGAAGAGAUGAGGGCGUUGAUGGGGGCUGU
rnacentral:lncRNA from 1 species